rnacentral:tRNA from 1 species
GUAUCGUCCAAAGGUAAGACAUCAGACUUUGACUCUGAUAAUGUAGGUUCGAUUCCUGCUACC